GGGUAAAANCACUGUUUCGCAACGGGCUGGGAAACUGGUACCAAUGCGAGACAAACUCUGAAUACCCGGUGUGUGCUAACUAGUGAGACGGUGGGGGAUAAGCUUCAUCGUCAAGAGGGAAACAGCCCAGACCACCAGCUAAGGUCCCCAAAUAAUGGCUAAGUGAUAAAGGAGGUGGGAGUGCAUUGACAACCAGGAGGUUUGCCUAGAAGCAGCAACCCUUAAAAGAGUGCGUAAUAGCUCACUGGUCAAGCGCUCCUGCGCCGAAAAUGAACGGGGCUAAGCCAUUUACCGAAGCUGUGGAAUAUGAAAAUAUUGGUAGGGGAGCGUUCUGCAAGGGGUGAAGCAUUAGCGACAAGCAGAUGUGGACUUUGCAGAAGUGAGAAUGUCGGCUUGAGUAGCGAAAACAUUGGUGAGAAUCCAAUGCCCCGAAACCCUAAGGAUUCCUCCGCAAGGCUCGUCCACGGAGGGUAAGUCAGGACCUAAGGCGAGGCGAAUAGCGUAGUCGAUGGACAACGGGUCAAAAUUCCCGUACCGUUUACGAUUGAUAACGGGGGACGGAGUAGGUCAACACUAGCAGGGUAUUGGUUGUCCCUGUGUAAGUGUCCAAGGCGAUGAGAGACGGAGAAAACGUUUUGAGCUGAGGCACGAGUCCGGCGGUCUAAGGACGGUCAGUAGUGAAGGUCAUGCUUCCAAGAAAAGCCCGAACUAUCAUAAAUUGUAAACGCCUGUACCAGAAACCGACACAGGUAGGGUGGUAGAGAAUACUAAGGGGCGCGAGAUAACUCUCUCUAAGGAACUCGGCAAAAUGACCCCGUAACUUCGGGGAGAA
rnacentral:rRNA from 1 species